GGCACUAAAAACAUGUAGCGCGUAGGUUUGUGCAAGUGUUCACAGUCGUUAUCAAGUAAUAAGUAAGUAUCGAGUUAUCGUCUCCACAAGGAUUGUAUUUGUGCUAAGUCACUUAAUUUGUAAAAUUAUAUUAACAAUUUGGUAAAUAAAAACACAAUAUAGUUGAGAAGUGGUGAUUAAAAUAUAAUAAACUAAAUGCAAUGAUCCC
rnacentral:lncRNA from 1 species